rnacentral:rRNA from 1 species
GACGAACGCUGGCGGCGUGCUUAACACAUGCAAGUCGAACGGAAAGGCCCUGCUUUUGUGGGGUGCUCGAGUGGCGAACGGGUGAGUAACACGUGAGUAACCUGCCCUUGACUUUGGGAUAACUUCAGGAAACUGGGGCUAAUACCGGAUAGGAGCUCCUGCUGCAUGGUGGGGGUUGGAAAGUUUCGGCGGUUGGGGAUGGACUCGCGGCUUAUCAGCUUGUUGGUGGGGUAGUGGCUUACCAAGGCUUUGACGGGUAGCCGGCCUGAGAGGGUGACCGGCCCCAUUGGGACUGGGAUACGGCCCAGACCCCUACGGGGGGCAGCGGUGGGGAAUAUUGCACAAUGGGGGGAAGCCGGAUGCAGCAACGCCGGGGGCGGGAUGACGGCCUUCGGGUUGUAAACCGCCUUCGCCUGUGACGAAGCGGGGGUGACGGUAAUGGGGAAAGAAGCACCGGCUAACUACGU